rnacentral:rRNA from 1 species
GACGAACGCUGGCGGCGUGCCUAAUACAUGCAAGUCGAGCGAAUCGAUGGGAGCUUGCUCCCUGAGAUUAGCGGCGGACGGGUGAGUAACACGUGGGUAACCUGCCUGUAAGACUGGGAUAACUUCGGGAAACCGGAGCUACUACCGGAUACUUUCUUUUCUCGCAUGAGGGAAGAUGGAAAGAUGGUUCUGCUAUCACUUACAUAUGGACCCGCGGCGCAUUAGCUAGUUGGUGAGGUACCGGCUCACCAAGGCGACGAUGCGUAGCCGACCUGAGAGGGUGAUCGGCCACACUGGGACUGAGACACGGCCCAGACUCCUACGGGAGGCAGCAGUAGGGAAUCUUCCGCAAUGGACGAAAGUCUGACGGAGCAACGCCGCGUGAGCGAAGAAGGCCUUCGGGUCGUAAAGCUCUGUUGUUAGGGAAGAACAAGUACGAGAGUAACUGCUCGUACCUUGACGGUACCUAACCAGAAAGCCACGGCUAACUACGUGCCAGCCGCCGCAGUAAAAC